rnacentral:misc_RNA from 1 species
CAGAGUCGUAAAAAACUCCCAAACCCAUGUGAAUUUACCUUUGUUGCCUCGGCAGGUUACAGGGUAGCUACAGGGUAGAUACCCUGUAACCUGCCGGUGGACUAUUAAACUCUUGUUAUUUUAAAUAAAUCUGAGCGUCUUAUUAAAUAAGUCA